rnacentral:rRNA from 1 species
GACGAACGCUGGCGGCGUGCUUAACACAUGCAAGUCGAACGGAAAGGCCCUGCUUUUGUGGGGUGCUCGAGUGGCGAACGGGUGAGUAACCCGUGAGUAACCUGCCCUUGACUUUGGGAUAACUUCAGGAAACUGGUGCUAAUACCGGCUAGGAGCUCCUGCUGCAUGGUGGGGGUUGGAACGUUUCGGCGGUUGGGGAUGGACUCGCGGCUUAUCAGCUUGUUGGUGGGGUAGUGGCUUACCAAGGCUUUGACGGGUAGCCGGCCUGAGAGGGUGACCGGCCACAUUGGGACUGAGAGACGGCGCAGACGCCUACGGGAGGCAGCAGUGGGGAAUAUUGCACAAUGGGCGGAAGCCUGAUGCAGCAACGCCGCGUGCGGGAUGACGGCCUUCGGGUUGUAAACCGCUUUCGCCUGUGACGAAGCGUGAGUGACGGUAAUGGGUAAAGAAGCACCGGCUAACUACGUG